GAUGAACGCUGGCGGCGUGCUUAACACAUGCAAGUCGAACGAAGCAUUUGCGACAGAUUUUUUCGGAAUGAAGUUGCUUAUGACUGAGUGGCGGACGGGUGAGUAACGCGUGGGUAACCUGCCUUGUACUGGGGGAUAGCAGCUGGAAACGGCUGGUAAUACCGCAUAAGCGCACAAUGUUGCAUGACAUGGUGUGAAAAACUCCGGUGGUAUAAGAUGGACCCGCGUCUGAUUAGCUAGUUGGUGAGAUAACAGCCCACCAAGGCGACGAUCAGUAGCCGACCGGAGAGGGUGACCGGCCACAUUGGGACUGAGACACGGCCCAGACUCCUACGGGAAGCAGCAGUGGGGAAUAUUGCACAAUGGAGGAAACUCUGAUGCAGCGACGCCGCGUGAGUGAAGAAGUAAUUCGUUAUGUAAAGCUCUAUCAGCAGGGAAGAUAGUGACGGUACCUGACUAAGAAGCGCCGGCUAAAUACGUG
rnacentral:rRNA from 1 species